GCAAUCGUGGCCGAGUGGUUAAGGCGUCUGACUUGAAAUCAGAUUCCCUCUGGGAGCGUAGGUUCGAGUCCUGCCGACUGCG
rnacentral:tRNA from 1 species